rnacentral:rRNA from 3 species
UUAAAUUGAAGAGUUUGAUCAUGGCUCAGAUUGAACGCUGGCGGCAGGCCUAACACAUGCAAGUCGAACGGUAACAGGAAGAAGCUUGCUUCUUUGCUGACGAGUGG